rnacentral:rRNA from 1 species
UACGAAGGGGGCUAGCGUUGCUCGGAAUCACUGGGCGUAAAGCGCACGUAGGCGGCUUUUUAAGUCAGAGGUGAAAUCCUGGAGCUCAACUCCAGAACUGCCUUUGAUACUGAAAGUCUUGAGUACGGGAGAGGUGAGUGGAACUGCGAGUGUAGAGGUGAAAUGCGCAGAUAUCGGGAGGAACACCAAUGGCGAAGGCAGCUCGCUGGGACGGUACUGACGCUGAGGUGCGAAAGCGUGGGGAGCAAACAGG